CCGAAAGCCUACUGUAUGGCAUCUGGUGUGAAAGCAACUGGGAAGGAGCUGAUUAAGGAACCUGUGCUCUUACGAGACUCCCGUCCUGUGGGCAGGAGGCACUGCUCAACAUUGCCGUCACUUUCCCCAGGGGAUGGAGUCGGAUGUGGCCCACUCAGCACAGCUGAGACAUCCUGUGGUCUGCUCUUGUUCACACCCCAAGGUUAAGCUCCCUCUCCUGCACCUUUUCUUGAUAGUCAAUUCCAGCCAUACCUCACUUUCAGUUUUUCAGACCCAACCAUGUCCUUUUAAAUCGAUCCUUUUAUGAAUGUGUUCUGCAUUUCUCGGAAGAAGGUUCCUCCCUGAUCUAGA